rnacentral:SRP_RNA from 1 species
GCUGGGCAUAGUGGCGCGUGCCUGUAAUCCCGGCUACUUGGGAGGCUGAGGCAGGAGAAUCGCUUGAACCCAGGAGGUAGAGGUUGCAGUGAGCAGAGAUCACGCCAUUGCACUCCAGCCUGGGUGACAGAGUGAGACUCUGUCUCAC